rnacentral:misc_RNA from 1 species
AAAGUCGUAACAAGGUUUCCGUAGGUGAACCUGCGGAAGGAUCAUUACUGAAUGACAUUUUGUCUAUCACAAUCUGUGCCUCGUUGUGGUGGACCACUUCCUGCCGUCAGGUUUUUGAUGCCGGGAUUUGGUCCACCAUGCCUUUUCACCAAACAAACCUGUCGUUGCAUGUAUGGCAUUAAAAGUAUAUAAAUACAAAUAUAACUUUCAACAACGGAUCUCUUGGCUCUC